GAUGAACGCUGGCGGCGUGCCUAAUACAUGCAAGUCGAGCGAACAGACGAGGAGCUUGCUCCUCUGACGUUAGCGGCGGACGGGUGAGUAACACGUGGAUAACCUACCUAUAAGACUGGGAUAACUUCGGGAAACCGGAGCUAAUACCGGAUAAUAUAUUGAACCGCAUGGUUCAAUAGUGAAAGACGGUUUUGCUGUCACUUAUAGAUGGAUCCGCGCCGCAUUAGCUAGUUGGUAAGGUAACGGCUUACCAAGGCAACGAUGCGUAGCCGACCUAAGAGGGUGAUCGGCCACACUGGAACUGAGACACGGUCCAGACUCCUACGGGAGGCAGCAGUAGGGAAUCUUCCGCAAUGGGCGAAAGCUUGACGGAGCAACGCCGCGUGAGUGAUGAAGGUCUUCGGAUCGUAAAACUCUGUUAUUAGGGAAGAACAAAUGUGUAAGUAACUAUGCACGUCUUGACGGUACCUAAUCAGAAAGCCACGGCUAACUACGUG
rnacentral:rRNA from 1 species